GACGAACGCUGGCGGCGUGCUUAACACAUGCAAGUCGAGCGGUAAGGCCCUUUCGGGGGUACACGAGCGGCGAACGGGUGAGUAACACGUGGGUGACCUGCCCUCAGCUCUGGGAUAAGCCCGGGAAACUGGGUCUAAUACUGGAUAUUACUCUGCGGUGCAUGCCGUGGGGUGGAAAGCCUUGUGCGGCUGGGGAUGGGCCCGCGGCCUAUCAGCUUGUUGGUGGGGUGAUGGCCACCAAGGCGACGACGGGUAGCCGGCCUGAGAGGGCGACCGGCCACACUGGGACUGAGACACGGCCCAGACUCCUACGGGAGGCAGCAGUGGGGAAUCUUGCGCAAUGGGCGAAAGCCUGACGCAGCGACGCCGCGUGAGGGAUGAC
rnacentral:rRNA from 1 species